rnacentral:miRNA from 1 species
AUGUAUAUAUGUAUAUGCAUAUAUAUGCAUGCAUAUACAUGUAUGUAUAUAUAUGCAUAUACAAACAUGUAUAUGCAUAUAU